AAUGUAGUUGCGGAUUAGCACAUACUAGUAAUAUUUGUUGCGAAACAAUUUUAAAAAUGGUAUCGUUUGACAGAUUAAAACAAGGGCAUGUUGUUCAAUUUAGAUUUCAAUAAUGCUAUCUUAUAACGUUGUCUUUAGAAGAGUUAGCUAAUUGUGAUGUCAAAUAAAAUAACCAACUCGCUUUGCACUACUUACUGGAGAUAUAAAACUGAUAUUUUCUGAUGAUGCAAUUGAGGAACAAGAAACAGUAUCAAUUGGACUAGAGGUAAGUGGCAAUGACUGUGAGACUGUCAGCACCAGGGCAUGGAACUCAAAUGGCUUGUUGCAAAAGUCAGCUACAUUAGUGGUAUUUCUUGAAAAGUUAUAAGACCGUUUUUUUACUACACUAAAAAGUUUUUGGAUUUCAUUUUUUCAAGUGUUAAUGCUAAAAUGCUCAUAAACUUGUGCAACAGUUUUAUUAAAUAACUCUCCAUUGUUAAUAAAUAUAAACAGUAUAUGUCCAUUUCUACAAUCAAUGCUCGUUUUGAUAGCCAAUGUAAAGUUAGCUAUUAUAUAUUUUUUUAAAUUGCCAAUAAGCAUUAUUUUUGUCUUGGGAGGCAUGAUACCUUUAAAAAUUAUAAAUUUAUUUAAUUGCAUAACUAAUGAACAAUAGGAUAACUACAUAAAUAUAAAAAAAUAUAAAAAUGAGGUAAGUAAAAGUACAAUAAAAAUUUUAAAUACUUUUGGUACACAACAGUCGGGUUCAAAAUUUGAACUCUAAACACUUUUUAUAUAGCACAGAAUUACAUUAACUUCUUUUUUGGUUAGAUAAAGAUGAAGUUCUACAUACUAACACAUAAAGGCACUUAGGUUUUGACCUUUUUAUUUACAUUUUUUAAAUUACAAUAACAACACCUUUUAACUUCAAGUUAAACAUUCAAAGUAAUGUAAUCAAAAGUCAAACUUGUGAUUAUAUCACAAACAUAAUUACAUCAGAUAUGUCAUAAGUUAAAGUCAGACAUCAUAAACUCUUAAGGAUGAGUUACAUUAUGUAGAUCUUCAAACCAACUAACUUAAAAUCUUUUUUUUAAAUACAAAAUGACAAAUAAUUCCUGAUAUAAUACACUGACUAAUUUUACGAAGUGCUUCAUUAUCUAAAAGAAAAGUUUUUUACACAUAAGUAAUUUUUUAUAAUUAAGUUUUAUAUAAUUAAGUAAUUAGAAUAAUUUUUUUAUAUCAUAAAAAAAAUUGUUUGUAAAUAUAUAUUAAUUAAACCUUUAGGCUAUACUCUUUCAUCGACAAUGAAUGGAUAACUGAUUAUAAUUUAAGUAAAUUAAAUCUAAAUUAGAUUAAAUUGAACAGUUAUCUAUAUUUGUAUCAGAUUAUAUUGCUAAAUGUUGUUAACGAAAUCCCCCUCAUCCGCUCACCGUUAAACUGUUAAAAAAAAAAUUAGGUACCAAAAGUGCUUGUAAAAAUAAGGAAUGUGCUAAUCAAAAUAAAGCAAUGAAAUUGGGAAGGUGCAUAAAAAAUAUGUAAACUUAAAAAUAAGAACAGGUAGGAAAAUUUACUCAGCAUUUUUUCAAGGUUUACUAAACGUCUAAAGUACUACCAAGUUUUGGAUGUAAAUAAAUUACCUUAAAAAGUUUGUCAUUGUAAUCAAAAGACACAUAGAAAUAAAAUUUAAUUACUCUAGAUUUUAAAUAAUAACUAUGUUAAUAUAAAAUUCUAAAAAAUAAGACUGCAAAACACCAUCCUACCAUGCACGUCAACACAAAAGUCGAAAAAACGGAGAACAGUAUUUUGGUAUAAAACUCGGUACCGUGAAACACGUAUUGCUACGUACCUAACAUUAACUUUAGUUAUAACUUAAUAAUUAAUGACUUGAUUUAUAGAUUUUUAAAGCAUUACAAGAUUGAAUUUAACAGAAGGCUAAACUUCUGCUCUGGAGACAAAAAAGGAAGACAGGAAAAAUUACCAGCCAAAAUAAAGAUUAAAGAGACAAAUUAUUGUGUAUAUCUUGGUGUAGAUGAUUUAUACUCAAUUUCAUAUAAUAAAACAAAAAAUAUUAUUAAACUUUGAAAUUUACCUGUAACUCUAAACUCUUUACAGAAGUUCAAUGUUUGCUCUGAGUAGUUAAAUGAACAAAAUUUAUUAAAUGGUAAGUUUUUAUAUAAAAGUCUUUAUGUCUGAUGAUUAAAAAUCUUUAUUCAUAGCUUUA